GGUUAAGCGACUAAGCGUACACGGUGGAUGCCCUGGCAGUCAGAGGCGAUGAAGGACGUGCUAAUCUGCGAUAAGCGUCGGUAAGGUGAUAUGAACCGUUAUAACCGGCGAUUUCCGAAUGGGGAAACCCAGUGUGUUUCGACACACUAUCAUUAACUGAAUCCAUAGGUUAAUGAGGCGAACCGGGGGAACUGAAACAUCUAAGUACCCCGAGGAAAAGAAAUCAACCGAGAUUCCCCCAGUAGCGGCGAGCGAACGGGGAGGAGCCCAGAGCCUGAAUCAGUGUGUGUGUUAGUGGAAGCGUCUGGAAAGGCGCGCGAUACAGGGUGACAGCCCCGUACACAAAAAUGCACAUGCUGUGAGCUCGAUGAGUAGGGCGGGACACGUGGUAUCCUGUCUGAAUAUGGGGGGACCAUCCUCCAAGGCUAAAUACUCCUGACUGACCGAUAGUGAACCAGUACCGUGAGGGAAAGGCGAAAAGAACCCCGGCGAGGGGAGUGAAAAAGAACCUGAAACCGUGUACGUACAAGCAGUGGGAGCAUGCUUAGGCGUGUGACUGCGUACCUUUUGUAUAAUGGGUCAGCGACUUAUAUUCUGUAGCAAGGUUAACCGAAUAGGGGAGCCGAAGGGAAACCGAGUCUUAACUGGG
rnacentral:rRNA from 1 species